CCUGCCCUUAGAGGUGUUGAAGAUGUGGCUAUUGUGUCACAGGUGUGUCAGUAGGUGCCAGAGAGAAGAGAAGCUAUGUCUACACUCAAUGUUUUGACCUGUGAACAUCUGAAAGAGCAAGUCAGACACG